rnacentral:rRNA from 1 species
UACGUAGGGGGCGAGCGUUGUCCGGAUUCAUUGGGCGUAAAGCGCUUUAAGGCGGUUCGCUAAGUCGCGUGUGAAACCUCCAGGCUCAACCUGGAGACGCCACGCGAUACUGGCGUGACUAGAGUUCGGUAGGGGAUCACGGAAUUCCUGGUGUAGCGGUGAAAUGCGCAGAUAUCAGGAGGAACACCGGUGGCGAAGGCGGUGCUCUGGGCCUUACCUGACGCUGAGGCACGAAAGCGUGGGGAGCAAACAGG